rnacentral:rRNA from 1 species
GGGUAACCUGCCCAUCAGAAGGGGAGUAACACUUGGAAACAAGGUGCUAAUACCGUAUAACAAUCGAAACCGCAUGGUUUCGGAUUUGAAAGGCGCUUUUGCGUCACUGAUGGAUGGACCCGCGGUGCAUUAGCUAGUUGGUGAGGUAACGGCUCACCAAGGCAACGAUGCAUAGCCGACCUGAGAGGGUGAUCGGCCACAUUGGGACUGAGACACGGCCCAAACUCCUACGGGAGGCAGCAUG